CGCGGCCCUGAGCGGCAGAGACAGCAAUAGGCAGAAAUGAGUAAGAGCCGGAGCUGAAGUAGUGCACGGCGUAAUUCCUGCUCUGUGAUCAGACACUCCAAGUGAAAAAACCGGGAGAGGGGGCAGAGAGAGGCAGUGACCAGCUCAACCUUUGCAACCGGCUCAGGACAGAACGUCUAUAGAUAUUUAUAGAUACUAAAACAAAAACAACAACCUCACCCUGAAUAGAGCCUUUCUUAAAAAGAAGGUCCUGGCAAUUCUGUCUUAUUUAAGCAAUUUCCUGAGUCUAAGAAUAGAAAUGAGCUGCCUGGAAGGCACUGCAGGCUGAAAUUUGGAGACAUGGGCUGCUUUAUUUUAUUUUUCUAAAUAUAAAAACCUUUCGUUUGGAUACUGGAUUUUUAUGUGGGUCUUUGCAGCGGAGGGAUGUAUGGUUACUUUUAAUUCUACUUUUUUUUUCUCUCUCUUUUAAUUAAAAAAAAAAAUAAUCAUCCAGUUAAAAGCAAGGAAGCUGUUUUACCUGCCUUUGACAAUCCCAGAGGACACCGAUCAAGAAACGGGAGUGACUUGGUCUUCUGCACUACUUUACUCCUACCCCCAUUUUUUUUAGGGGGAGAGAAGGAUUUUUUCCAGUCCAAGAACCUCUUGCCCCCAAGUUUUGGAAGGGGGUUGAAGACUUGUCACCCGUCUGGGGGUGCAUGAAGGGCAUUGCUUUUCUUUCCCUGCCACCUUGGUUUUGUGGAGGUUUGGAAGAGAACUUUGCCUGGGAGAAGAGGAUGAUGUGGAAGUGGCUGGGUGCCCUGCUGCUGUUCCCGGUGCAGAUGGUGUACCUGGUGGUGAAAGCUGCCGUGUGCCUGGUGCUGCCGCCCAAGCUGCGAGACCUGUCCCGGGAGAACGUGCUGGUCACCGGCGGGGGCCGAGGCAUCGGCCGCCACCUGGCCCGGGAAUUCGCCAGGAGAGGAGCCAGGAAGAUCAUCCUGUGGGGUCGGACUGAGAAAUGCCUGAAGGAGACCACGGAGGAGAUCAGGAUGAUGGGGACAGAGUGCCACUACUUCAUCUGUGACGUGGGAAACCGCGAGGAAGUCUAUCGGCAAGCCAAGGCCGUGCGGGAAAAGGUGGGUGACAUCACCAUCCUGGUGAACAAUGCUGCUGUGGUCCAUGGGAAGAGCCUGAUGGACAGCGAUGAUGAUGCACUGCUCAAAUCCCAGCACAUAAACACCCUGGGACAGUUCUGGACCACCAAAGCAUUCCUGCCAAGGAUGCUGGAGCUGCAGAAUGGGCACAUUGUUUGCCUGAACUCUGUCCUGGCCUUGUCAGCCAUCCCUGGUGCCAUUGACUAUUGCACCUCCAAAGCCUCAUCCUUUGCUUUCAUGGAGAGCCUGACCCUGGGGCUGCUGGACUGUCCUGGAGUGAAUGCCACCACAGUCCUGCCCUUCCACACCAGCACAGAGAUGUUCCAGGGCAUGAGAAUCAGGUUCCCUAGUCUUUUUCCUCCUCUCAAGCCAGAGACAGUGGCAAGGAGGACAGUAGAAGCUGUUCAGAUGAAUCAAGCCUUCCUUCUCCUUCCAUGGACAAUGCAUGUUCUUGUUAUCCUAAAAAGCAUUCUCCCCCAGGCAGCACUUGAAGAAAUCCACAAGUUUUCUGGGAGCUACACCUGCAUGAACACUUUUAAAGGACGAACAUAGACCUGAUGGCACAAGGACUGUUCUGCAGUGAACCCAGCACAAGCAUGAAAAUCCUACAGGACUGUGAAUCAGCAAGUCUUGGCUUUCAGCCUGUUCAUGUGACUUGUGCUGCUCUGAGGCAACACAUUUCUUGCAGGUCAUAUCCAUAGUAACAUGACCUUUGCACAGGAUUGAGUGAGUGGACUAUGGACCCUUGGAAAGAAAAACAGAAAGUGUGAAAUGUUUCUAUGAUGUUUAAUUCUUUAGAGUUCAACUGUUAAAUCUACUCAUAGUUCUAAGAUGUGAUUUUUGUUUCUUAAGUCUCUGUGGGCUGUCUCAGUGGAGAGACAGCACAUCCCAUCCCAAACACACUUUGUGCCCUCUCUCCAGAGGAACUGCCACUGGUUUCAUUUCAGCUUUUUGAAUGAGGAACUUCAAAAUUACUUUAAAGAACUAAAAGAUAUGGACAUUUAAUGGAUGCUUCCUUCUCUUUCUUCACUUUCCAUCCCAUGAUGAAGCUGUUCCCAGCACACACUGGGGAAGGAGCAAACCAUGAAGCAAUGUUUUCUUUGCUAAAGGCCACCCAGGACUUCUCUUUCUGGGCCCAAAAAAGCUGCUCUACUUCCCUUGUGGAGGCUGGACAGGAAGGCUCAGGCAGCAGAGCUGAGAGUUUAAAUAGUGGAAGAUUCUUUCUGUCACUGGACUCAUGUGUGAAAUAGUCAUUCUGAUUUUUUUGUGUUCAUUUGUGAUAAAAUAUAAAUAGAUUUUUAGCUUUAAUCCCAGAUUGCCACACAUGUAGGCAGCAGCACAUUGGGGAUGAACUAAAUCUAGAACUAAAACUAGAGCCUGCUUGUACAAACAUACAUUCACUGACAUAAUCCAUGCAGAGGAAAAUCCAUUGUAUCAAUCUGCACAGUGAAGUGGAAUAACUCUCUAAAGGACAGUACUGUUGUGCUCAUGAGAUGUGAAAUCUGGGAGCACAUUUAGCAAAGACCUGAUGAAAUGCAUUUUGAAUUCAUCUGGCAAUAAACCCAUUGUGCUUUAGGGACAUUGAAUCAGGCACUGAUCAGCCAGAAGUGGUAAAUACACUUGGACUGAGGUGCCAGAAGCAGCUAGACAUUAUUUAUUUUUGUAAUGAUAUAUUCUCUUUGACAGCCUAGGAAGGGCAACACUGCAUUUCUGUGCAAAAUGCAGUGAGCAGCACAUUGGAGCACUACUUACAGAGGAAUUAAUAUAAAUGCAAUAGAGGAAGUAGCAAGUCUAACUGGAGACACCUGAAUGAAGUGCCUCAAGGAUGGAUGUGUGAUUAAAGGAGCGAAUUUAGGGCUCCUGACUUGAAUUUCAAGCUUUUCCAUAGAUGUCCUGUGUGGCUUGGAGCAAAAUGCAUCAUCUGAAAGAGCACCCUGACCUGCAAAGCAGAUUUUUUUAGUGUUUCCCUACCUCAGAAUUACAAGUCUGACUACCUAAAUGUCUGUCCAAAGCUCAGCAAAUUCAAAUGCAACGUGUUACAGAAAGGAAAAGCAGUAUUUGUUCAUAGACCAAGAGUUUCUAUACAAAAAAUCAGAUGAGGAAAAAAACCCAUAUGCCAAAAUAUAUCAUCUCCUAAAAGACAUCUGAGGUACAGCAGAAAAGCUGUGAGCUGUGUUUAAGUACUCCUUUGGUCCUGCCAUGUAGAAUGGAGACCUGCUGUGAGGUACAAAGGUGUGAAUGUUAAAAUCAGGUCUGACCUUACUGCAGACCACUGGAUUUCUCCCUUCUGGAGCUCUCCAAGAGGAAGAUGCUGCCAGAAGUGCCACUGUUGAAGUCCCUCUGCCUGGUUUUCCUUGGAAUUCCUGGAUGUCUGAGGCUCUCUGGAGAGGAUGGAAAAAACCUUCAAUCUCUGUGAUUUUGAGGCCCACUCUAAUAGAUGCUUCCAGCUUUAUUUUUUUGUCACUUUUUUCGAGAAGCCCAUCUGACUGAAAAGUCAAGUGCCACAUGGGCAGAGCCCUUCCAGGAAUAUUCAGUGCCUGGAAUCCUGAAGGUAAUAGGUUUAUCAGGAGAGGUUUGGGAGAGGAAGGUAUGGUGAUUCCCAGUUCCCCUUGUGCCCUCUGAUCCAUUCCAGUUCUCAUUAAUCCCAGCUGCAGGAGUAAAAACAACCAUGGUGAAAGAGCAGUGUCCCCUUGCAAUUAAACCUUUGUGCUGAGAUUCUGUUUAUUGGUAACUUCCUAAUGCAAAAGUGAGGUAAAAACACUGGAAUCCCUGUUCACCUCCAAAUCCUGUCCCUUAAAUAGAUCUGCUCUUUCCCUGCACCACUCAGAAGAUGUUCCCUUAUCUCCAGAGUUGCCUUACACACGAAGUGCUGUUGAUUUCUUUCUGAUGAAUAUAAACAAGUCAGAACAUAGCUGAGACUCAUCAUCUCUCUCCUCUCGAACACGCACAGAGCUCCCUCUCUCUUCCCCCAGGGUCCUGCAGCGGACAGAGGGUCAAAUAGCAGUCACAGUGGGGGAGAGGGUUGCAGCAAACAGAAAAUAACGAGGAAAACAUUGACUUUGCUGUUCAGAUAGCCAGGGAGAGUUGGGUAAGAGAGUUCCUUCUCUGGUGAGUGCUGUGAGACAGGACGGUCUCCAUCCAGCAAGCGACUGCAAACGUGGAUGGAGACACUGAAGACUUUUUUUUUAAUAGAAAGGCUCCUCUGGAAUGCCUGCUGAGGUCUGCUGGGACCUUCCCACAUAAGGGGAGUGUUGGGUAAUCUUGAAGCACUGCAAAUGUGGACAAGCUUUGUUGAAGCCUAAGGCCUUCUCCGAGGAAUUUCCGCCCUUUGACUUACUUUAAUUUUGAUUUUCCCCGCUCUCUCUCCUGCCUCCUGCUCUCCACUGCACAGUUUUUUUUCCCUUCUGUUUUCCUAUGUCAUCACUGCAGUUUUCUGUGCCACCAUCUUGAAGCCAGAUGUCACAGGAGAGCCUGGAGUAAAUCGAGAUCGGGGUGUCCAUUUCUGUAUGCUGGAGGAAUCCAGGUGAAGCUGCAGGAACAGAUCACAGCAGUUUCAUGGGAAAUUAGUUUUACUUGCUCCAAACUCUGAAGAAGUAAAAAGAGUCCUCACUGUUGCUCUUAUACAGGAGAUUGCUGCUGGUUUAAAAUUUGAAUGAUAGAGAAAUAUGGGCUGAUUUGGGACAUGCUCCUCUGACAAAAAAAGGCCAAAUUUAAAUGGGAGGAUUUUUCUGUUCAAGGUGGCUUCAAGGGCCGCUGUUUUUACAAAGUGAUUUUCAGAAUUAGCAAGGCAGGGCAGGAAGAGGAAGAAUCCCUCAUGUCUGAUACUUCAUUUUGUGGUUUUUGAUGAGGAAAAAAAGCACCCUCAUGGUGAAGAUGAAAAAGGUUCCAACCAUGUCCCUGCCAAUGGUGUGAUUGAAGCAGCAUGACAAAAAAGAGCAGGCCCUGAAAGUGGGAGCUGUACCCUCCCCACUCACCCAUUGUUCUGUUGAGGUUAAAAAGCAAUAGAGUCUGUCCCUCAAGUUCUUCUAGAACUGCACAGAAAGUGCCUGGGUAAGUGAUUCUGAUGUUUGCAAAGAGAAACUUGUUGUACUUUUAUGUAAUGUGUUAAUUAGUGUGGGUGGGUAUGAUCAGAUCUUGUCUUGCAAGCCUUUCCGACAACUCCCUGAACACUCCCACCUUCAGAUAUUAACAGAUAGCACUUGCCAAAGCUCCUAAAAACCCAGUAACAGACUUAAUGCAGGCAGAGCAUAAGUGGGUGCGUGUAUUUCAAAGAGAACACAUCUGCUUGUAGCAGACAUUAAUGUGGCCUAGUGCCUUCCUCGAGCUGAAGUGCAACUGUUGAGAAAAGAAUACAGGCUGAUCCUUGGAUCAUCUCUUUUGUUUCUUCACGUGGCUUUAAUAAAUUUAAUUUAGGUGACAGCCACUUUGACAGCACUGGCUCCAAGGUUGGGGUAAAGCAAGAUGAUGUCAAAUGCAGUAUUUUGCAUUUUUACCAAGCAGCAGCCCUGAGAAUGAAAAUAUUCGGCACUGUUUGCAGCUCUCACCUCCCCGGCACUAAGAUCCUGGUAUGUUUGGAGUCUGAGCAAACCUGUCAGUCACCAGCAGCAGUUGCAUUCUCUAGGGAACAGAAUCCUCUUUGACCUAAUGCUUUUCUGAAGGAGAUGUUGAGUAGUGGCAGCCACAGAUUCAGGGACUUAGAGAAAGACGAGAGGAAAAACAGAACUUCAGCUGCUCCCUGCAGCUCACUCUCUCCCAUCCCGUGUUUCCUGUGGGAAGAUGGUGAUUCAGAUAUUUCUUGCCCCCUUUACCACCCCUGUUCUACUGAGGUCACCUCAGCACCUUCCUUCAGUACCUUCAGGAAGCUGAAGCUUCAGCACAAACACCCCAAGGAGUUGGAUCAGCAGGUAAGGAGUGGGAGAGCAGACAGGGACAGGUGGAACUCACAGAGCACACCUGAUUGUGAGUCCCUGCCCUGUUCCUGCCAUCCUUGCUUUCAGCAUCACCCCCUCUUUUGUUCCUGUAACAGAUCCUGCCCAGAAACACACGCUGACCCAGCCUGCCUGGCCUGCACUGAAGGCACAAACCUCUCAAUUUGUAUCUUCACACCUUCCCAACGAGUCCAAGCUUACUAGUUCUUCAUUCUCACCUCGGCUAUGGGCAUUGUGCAUUAGCACAGGAAAAAAAAAUUAAGGCAAAUCUCUGAUGAUUUUUUUUAAUGCAUCGUAUAAUGAUUUUUUUCUGCAUAAAACUAGAACAAUUCCUCCUUAAGUGAGGGAAGAAGGCACUGUAAUUAGAGUUGGAGAGUGACUGAAAAGUAUAUGAGAAUACAAAAUAGAAGAUAAGAUGCAAUCUUAGGGGGAGUGUGAUGGCCCUAAACAGACAGAGGCAAGAUGCCACCUUACCAUCCCUGAAGUUAUAUAAUAACAGAGGCGUGUGAUUUCCAGCCAAACACAAAGUCUAUAAAAGAAGCCUGUUGUUGCUCCUGCUCAUUCCAAUGGGUCACCAUGCCCUAAAAAGCAGUCAAUUAAUUUUGUAGCUUGCUGGCUUGGAAACUCCAAAUAUGCUGGUAACUGAUGGCUGACUCUUGGUUUUAUUUUGAGGGAGGGAAAGCAGCCCAAACAUGUGAAAACAAGGGUCAGUUUGACUCCCUACUCACUUUUUCCAGCUGCAAGAGCCAUCCAUCAUGUGUAGGUAUUACAAGGACAUAUGGUUCUCUGGCUUGUGUCAGUAAUCAUCCUGACCUGGUGCUACUAGGUAGAUGUGGUUCCAUUUCCUAUUUUUUUCUAGAGCAAAAGCAUUUUUUAAAUAGAUUUUUUCUUUAUGAGUUAGUUGCCUCUGUAUUGUACAGGCUGUUCACAGCCAGGCAUCCUAGACAUGAAGUUUCCUUAUCAGUGUUAAUCCAAUGAUAAUGAAAGGAAUACAGAAGUGAGGAGUUCCUGUUGGAUAUCUUCCUUCCCCAAGCCCUGUGGAACUAAGGACAAGAACACUGUUGGAAGAGCAAUGCCUUAAAUGAAUCCAUCUCACAAGCCUGCUGGCUUCUCUCUGUCUGACUUCCAAAAAUUGUCUUCCUUCCUGUCCCUGGGGCAUUUGGCACUGAGUUUGGUUUCCUGAGCAGGUCACUGUCACAGUGCACUUUACAGUAAAGGCUGCACAUACAAACUCUGAACAGAUUUAAACUUCUGCUCCCACAGGACGCUCCUGAGAAAUCCAGAUUAAAGGAGGAGGUGACAUCAGGUACCCAGUACAAACCCAAGCACUGGGGGAGGGCUCUGCUUGUCCAGGGAGCUCAGGGCACAACUCCCACCUCCUGCCUCAGAUCUGAGCCCUGACUGGACCCUGGCAGCAGGAGUCCAUGAACCUUCCUUAAUUCUUCUUAAUUCCUGAAUUUUUUAGCAUCAGAGACACUUUGGGGUGUGGCCAGCAGCUGCCCUUGUGCAUCACUGUUGAUGUGAUCAGCGUUCCCAGAGCCUGGCACAUGGCAGCAAUAACUUCAGCCUAAGAUAAGGAGGCAAUUCCUUGCUGUCUUUUCCAGGAAAGUCAACUCUUAGUGCUUCAUGCAGAGAGGACUGAAGUCAGUGCAGGGUUACAGGGUUCCUGGGGUGUUUUGGCAACGUGAGUACUGCUGUUGUACAGAAUAAGAAAAAAGGGCUCAUGUCAGAGGAAUGUUAACAGAAGAUAGAAAUGGCAAUAAUGGGAAACAAGUGAUAUCCAAACACAUAAUUCCUGUUCCCAGAGCCUGCUGGGAGCACUGAUUCCCUGCAGACAUGGCACAGGGAAGUCAGUUCACUCCACAGUCUUACACCUCCUUCAAGUCUGCCUACUACGAGUAGCAGCAGAGGUGACAAGCUCAUGAUCUCUGCUCUCUCAACUGUUAAAUGUAGCAAAACAGGUGCUAAAAGAAAUAAAAUCCAUCCAUCAGAGAACAAAACAAUUCUUUGGGUCAGUGUCAGCCUUAGAGAAUGGAGGAGGCUCUCAGGUACCAGAGAAAGGAGCCACAGCAUCUCCCACCUGAUUCCUUGAGGGGCCUCAUCUCCCCUUGUUAAUGGUAAUAAAUGUUGUUAAUGGUAAUAAAUGUGGAGGAAUAUGUUUGUCUCAGUUCAGCCAUGGGAUUAAA